rnacentral:rRNA from 1 species
GUCCACGCCGUAAACGAUGGAUACUAGCUGUUGGAAGCAAUUUCAGUGGCUAAGCGAAAGUGAUAAGUAUCCCACCUGGGGAGUACGUUCGCAAGAAUGAAACUCAAAGGAAUUGACGGGGGCCCCGCACAAGCGGUGGAGCAUGUGGUUUAAUUCGAUUAUACGCGAGGAACCUUACCAAGGCUUAAAUGUAGAUUGACAGGUUUGGAAACAGACUUUUCUUCGGACAAUUUACAAGGUUCUGCAUGGUUGUCGU